CCAGUCUGAACACCUGAGGGGAGAUGGUCACUUUAAAGGAGAACGUCAGUGAAAAACAAUAAUGUGACUCUCAUUCUACAAAAAGCCUUAUAGUCUACAUCUCAAACGUUGGCUGGCCCUCGCUUCAUACUCGUCGCCAAACCCACUGGCUCCAUGUCAUCUACAAGACCCUGCUAGGUAAAGUCCCCCCUUAUCUCAGCUCGCUGGUCACCAUAGCAUCUCCCACCUGUAGCACACGCUCCAGCAGGUAUAUCUCUCUAGUCACCCCCAAAACCAAUUCUUUCUUUGGCCGCCUCUCCUUCCAGUUCUCUGCUGCCAAUGACUGGAACGAACUACAAAAAUCUCUUAAAUUGGAAACACUUAUCUCCCUCACUAGCUUUAAGCACCAACUGUCAGAGCAUCUUACAGAUUACUGCACCUGUACAUAGCCCACCUAUAAUUUAGCCCAAACAACUACCUCUUUCCCAACUGUAUUUAAUUUAUUUAUUUAUUUUGCUCCUUUGCACCCCAUUAUUUUUAUUUCUACUUUGCACAUUCUUCCAUUGCAAUACUACCAUUCCAGUGUUUUACUUGCUAUAUUGUAUUUACUUUGCCACCAUGGCCUUUUUUGCCUUUACCUCCCUUCUCACCUAAUUUGCUCACAUUGUAUAUAGACUUGUUUUUUUUUUUGUUUUUUUUACUGUUUUAUUGACUGUAUGUUUGUUUUACUCCAUGUGUAACUCUGUGUCGUUGUAUGUGUCGAACUGCUUUGCUUUAUCUUGGCCAGGUCGCAAUUGUAAAUGAGAACUUGUUCUCAACUUGCUUACCUGGUUAAAUAAAGGUGAAAUAAAUAAAAAUAAAAAACGUAGAACAAGGAUUAGAUCAUAAUAUAUGAUAACUCAGAUAUAGAAAUGGAUCAAUGACAA